UACGUAGGGGGCAAGCGUUGUCCGGAAUCAUUGGGCGUAAAGCGCACGUAGGCGGACCGCUAAGUCGGAUGUGAAAGCCCUCGGCUUAACCGAGGAAGUGCAUUCGAAACUGACGGUCUUGAGUAUGGAAGAGGGUCGCGGAAUUCCCGGUGUAGAGGUGAAAUUCGUAGAUAUCGGGAGGAACACCAGUGGCGAAGGCGGCGACCUGGGCCAAUACUGACGCUGAGGUGCGAAAGCGUGGGGAGCAAACAGG
rnacentral:rRNA from 1 species